rnacentral:rRNA from 1 species
AAGUCAGAUGUGAAAGCCUUCUGUUCAACGGAAGAAUUGCAUCUGAAACUGCGAGUCUUGAGUGUAGGAGGGGAGAAUGGAACUUCUGGUGGAGCGGUGAAAUGCGUAGAUAUCAGAAGGAACGCCGGCGGCGAAAGCGAUUCUCUGGCCUAUUACUGACACUCAGUGUGCGAAAGCUAGGGGAGCAAACGGGAUUAGAUACCCCGGUAGUCCUAGCCGUAAACGAUGGGCACUAAGUAGAGGGAAUUACCGAUAUUCUCUCUGCCGUAGCUAACGCAUUAAGUGCCCCGCCUGGGGAGUACGGCCGCAAGGCUAAAACUCAAAAGAAUUGACGGGGGCUCGCACAAGCGGUGGAGCAUGUGGCUUAAUUCGAUGCAACGCGAAAAACCUUACCGGGGCUUGACAUGGUAGAAGUAGGAACCCGAAAGGGUAACGAACGGUAUCCAGUCCGUAGCUAUUACAGGUGUUGCAUGGCUGUCGUCAGCUCGUGUCGUGAGACGUUGGGUUAAGUCCCCUAACGAGCGAAACCCCUGUUUUUAGUUGCCAGCGGGUUAUGCCGGGCACUCUAGAAAGACUGCCGUCGUCAAGACGGAGGAAGGUGGGGAUGACGUCAAGUCAUCAUGGCCCUUAUGCCCCGGGCUGCACACGUGCUACAAUGGUCGGUACAAACGGAAGCGAAG